UACGAAGGGGGCUAGCGUUGCUCGGAAUCACUGGGCGUAAAGGGCGCGUAGGCGGCUGGGGAAGUCGGUGGUGAAAGCUCGUGGCUCAACUACGAGUCGGCCAACGAUACUCCUCGGCUCGAGCACUGUAGAGGCAGGUGGAAUUCCGGGUGUAGCGGUGGAAUGCGUAGAGAUCCGGAAGAACACCGGUGGCGAAGGCGGCCUGCUGGGCAGUAGCUG
rnacentral:rRNA from 1 species